GACGUAGGAUGCGAGCGUUGUCCGGAUUUAUUGGGCGUAAAGAGUUCGUAGGCGGUUCGUUAAGUCCGGUGUUAAAGACCGAGGCCCAACCUCGGGAGUGCAUUGGAUACUGGCGGACUGGAGUGCAGUAGAGGCGAGUGGAAUUCCCAGUGUAGCGGUGAAAUGCGUAGAUAUUGGGAAGAACACCAGUGGCGUAAGCGACUCGCUGGGCUGUAACUGACGCUGAGGAACGAAAGCCAGGGGAGCGAAUGGG
rnacentral:rRNA from 1 species